UACAGAGGUCUCAAGCGUUGUUCGGAUUCAUUGGGCGUAAAGGGUGCGUAGGUGGCGCUGUAAGUCGGGUGUGAAAUUUCGGAGCUUAAACUCCGAAACUGCAUUCGAUACUGCGGUGCUUGAGGACUGGAGAGGAGACUGGAAUUCAUGGUGUAGCAGUGAAAUGCGUAGAGAUCAUGAGGAAGACCAGUGGCGAAGGCGGGUCUCUGGACAGUUCCUGACACUGAGGCACGAAGGCCAGGGGAGGCAAACGGG
rnacentral:rRNA from 1 species